CGUAGGGUGCAAGCGUUAUCCGGAAUUAUUGGGCGUAAAGAGCUCGUAGGCGGUUUGUCGCGUCUGCUGUGAAAACCCGAGGCUCAACCUCGGGCCUGCAGUGGGUACGGGCAAACUAGAGUGCGGUAGGGGAGAUUGGGAUUCCUGGUGUAGCGGUGGAAUGCGCAGAUAUCAGGAGGAACACCGAUGGCGAAGGCAGAUCUCUGGGCCGUAACUGACGCUGAGGAGCGAAAGCGUGGGGAGCGAACAGGAUUAGAUACCCUGGUAGUCCACGCCGUAAACGUUGGGAACUAGAUGUGGGGGCCAUUCCACGGCUUCCGUGUCGCAGCUAACGCAUUAAGUUCCCCGCCUGGGGAGUACGGCCGCAAGGCUA
rnacentral:rRNA from 1 species